ACGAUGAUCACUAGUUGUUUGCAAUAGACCGUAAGCGACAAAGCGAAAGCAUUAAGUGAUCCACCUGGGGAGUACGUUGGCAACAAUGAAACUCAAAGGAAUUGACGGGGGCCCGCACAAGCGGAGGAACAUGUGGUUUAAUUCGAUGAUACGCGAGGAACCUUACCUGGACUUAAAUGUAGACUGACAGGGGUAGAGAUACCUUUUUCUUCGGACAGUUUACAAGGUGCUGCAUGGUUGUCGUCAGCUCGUGCCGUGAGGUGUCGGGUUAAGUCCCAUAACGAGCGCAACCCACGUUGUUAGUUACCAGCACAUAAUGGUGGGCACUCUAACAAGACUGCCGGUGUAAACCGCGAGGAAGGUGUGGAUGACGUCAAAUCAGCACGGCCCUUACGUCCAGGGCUACACACGUGUUACAAUGGUCGGUACAGAGGGCAGCUACCUAGUGAUAGGAUGCGAAUCUCGAAAACCGGUCUCAGUUCGGAUCGAAGUCUGCAACCCGACUUCGUGAAGCUGGAUUCGCUAGUAAUCGCGCAUCAGCCAUGGCGCGGUGAAUACGUUCCCGGGCCUUGUACACACCGCCCGUCAAACCAUGGAAGCCGGGGGUACCUGAAGUCUGUUACCGUAAGGAGCGGCCUAGGGUAAAUCUGGUANCUAGGGUUAAGUCGUAACAAGGUAACA
rnacentral:rRNA from 1 species